UACGGGGGGAGCAAGCGUUGUUCGGAUUUACUGGGCGUAAAGGGCGCGUAGGCGGUCGUGACAAGUCACUUGUGAAAUCUCCGGGCUUAACCCGGAGCGGUCAAGUGAUACUGUCGUGCUAGAGUGCGGAAGGGGCUACUGGAAUUCUCGGUGUAGCGGUGAAAUGCGUAGAUAUCGAGAGGAACACCUGCGGCGAAGGCGGGUAGCUGGGCCGACACUGACGCUGAUGCGCGAAAGCCAGGGGAGCGAACGGG
rnacentral:rRNA from 1 species